UUUAAACAUGCAUUGUUUCAUGCAGUACUCUGUCAUAUUAACAAAAUGGUUUUAUUUCUACAGUCCUCAACAUGGAAGAUAUGUUUUGUUCCUAACCAUCUAUAAUCCAUUCUCUAUGAAGUGAAGCCUGGCUGCUGGUCUUCCUUUGGAAAUACACAGUUAGUCAAUCAACAUAGAAACACACAAACUUGAAGGAUUUUCUAGUGAGGGCUUAUGGAAAUGAUCUAUAUCUACUCUUAGAAUGGUGAAAGACUAUCAGAUUAUGCAAAGACUAACAGAAUAUCCUCUCUUGGAACACUGAAACAAGAAAACCAAACUUAAGAAGAUGGAGGAUUUAAGAAGAACAUAGAUAAAUAUGAUUUCCAACUAAUUUAACCAGUACGAUCAUAGACUGUGGUUUACAGGAUGACAAAGAAAGGAGCCAGGAUUGUAUCUUUCACUGUCAGACACUGACUAUGGAUAAAGUGUAAUCAUUUAUUAAACUGAGAUCUAGUCAAAUCAAGUAUUGAAAAUAUGAUUUUCUGAUAGCAUGAGCUCUUUAAAAACUAAUUCUCACAGACCUCAAAGUAUCUGAAUGUGACUUUUAUUUUUACCAAUUCAUAUUGAAGACUGUUGUUAUGUAUGGGAAUUAUACACAUUUAAACCUUUUAUUUUUCAUCUAAUUUUUACAACCCCCUAGAAAUUACACAGAUAUCCAGAUGCUGGAUUUAAUGUUAUUAUUUAACUUUCCUGGAAUUGUAAAUAUAUUUUGUUUGUGUAUGUGUGUGUGUGUUAAUUUUGAAUUUAAAAUUGGUCUCAAUAAGACCCCCAAUAAAGAUGCAAGUGUCUCAUAAUCUGUGGUUUAAUAAUAUCUUGAAUAUCUUUAUCAUACCAUAUACAUCAUACUAGUUACAUAUAGAAUGGAAUACACUUUGUUGUUAAGGACACUUUGUCAAGGUCAAAGCAUAAGAUUAUUGAGAAGACUUCUUUGACAAUAAUUUGUAACUUACAAACUUCACAUCAUAAGUACACAGAUGAAGAAUCAAUAAGAUAUUUCUAUAGAUUUUUUUUUGGAUCAUUUACUCCUGGAUAAAAGUUAGUUACUGAGAUUACUGAUUUGAGUGAUGUAAUGCAAUAACUUAAACAUUGUGUAAUAACUUAAAGACUUUAUAAAAAAUAGGUGCAAAUUCUUAGGAAAGGAUUGAAAUGUUAAUCAAAUGAACAAUGUUCAAGGGUGUUUAUAUGACUAUUACUAUGUAAUACCUAGGGUUUAUAAGAUUGAGAUGACUUCUUUGACAAUAAUUUGUAACUUACAAACUUCACAUCAUAAGUACACAGAUGAAGAAUCAAUAAGAUAUUUCUAUAGAUUUUUUUUGGAUCAUUUACUCCUGGGUAAAAGUUAGUUACUGAGAUUACUGAUUUGAGUCCUGUAAUGCAAUAACUUAAACAUUGUGUGAUAACUUAUAGACUUUAUAACAAUUAGGUGCAAAUUCUUAGGAAAGGAUUGAAAUGUUAAUCAAAUGAACAAUGUUCAAG